UCUUGUUCUUGCUGUACACAUCAAAAUAAUAAUUUAAAUAAGACAUGUGAAAGACGACUAUUGUGCUAUAGAUAAUGUUUGAUUCAUAUCAUGUUAAUUUUAUUUUAUAGGACAUAACUUUUAGUUACCGAUUUUAUAUCAAUUUGAGAACUGAUUUAGCAUAAUCAGUUACAUAAUAUCCCAUUUUAAAAAUUACAAAUCUUUUGCGCAUUCGUUACGUAGAUGCUUAAAUUCAAGUUGGUGAUGGCCUACAAGGUGCAUCACUCCAUCCAUCCAAGGAUAAUUAAAUUAAAUUUGAGUAGUAAAAUUAUAUGUAUAUCUGUCUUUAUUACCAUUUUUUUUUUUUUUUUGCAUAAUAGUACAAUAUAUUUUUCCCCAGAAUAUUCAGCUGAGGAGCUUGAAUCCAAAAAGUCUAACUUUUGGCAGAAGAAGUAAGAAGAAAAUGACAAAAAGGCAGCAGAUUUUGAAGAACAAAUUACAAAACCACGACAAGUAGCUCAUUUUCAAAAGAUCAAAGAACGGUUCCAAAGAUUUUCUGGACCAGCUUGGAAGGGCAAGGUUAUUACCUUGGGACCAAUUCUGUAGGGUAGUGAAGAAGAAAAUUUCACAAGAAGAGGAAAGAAGACAACCAAGGAUGCAGUAUCGGUUCAACAUCUGCCUGAUUCAGCUUACCCACCACCUGCACCAAGUCCAUAUGCAACACAAGAUAAACCAAAGAUUAAAGAAAAAAAUAUAUUUAUAGUAAUAUUCAAUGUUUAAGAAAUGAGAAUGACUAACCAUUCGUAGAUGCUACUGCGUUUCCUUUGUCAUGGUCCUUCCAUUUCAAAUACAGUUUUCAUGACUAAUUCACAAAAAUAUUAUAUUGUUAUAUUACAUAGCCUAUGUAAAUACGAGUACGUGAUUGGUCGAAAUGGCAUCGCGUGACUAGCGCUACGAGGAUCGGAAACGUUAUAUUUCCUCAUAGGGAAAAUAACUUUGAAAAGUGACUGGUCUCUGACGUCACCGGAUUACACCCGCAUUGCGCCUGUAGUGAAUGCUAGUCGAGCGCACGAUCGAUCGCUCACGAAUUGUGAAUAUGUAAGCCCACCGCUUCGAAAAUGGCGACUUCAAAUAGGCCUAAGUUUAAAUCUCUUGACGAAGACAAAUUGGAUAGAGUUAUUGACGAAAAGGAUUCUCAGAGUACAAAAUUUGUUGUGAAUUCAUCCGUUAAUGUACUGUAGGCCUACUCAGUGAAUAUUGUAAGGCCAAGGAAUCAUCAAUUAGUCCUAGGCCUACUUGCAUUGAAAAUUUCACAGCAACAGAGCUCAACACAUUUCUCCGGUCAAUCUUUGCUGAGGUAAGGAGAGCAAACAGUGAAUUGUACGCUAAACGAUCAAUGAUAACGCUACGGACUACAGAAACAUUUUUAAAAAGUGACGGUGAAAUUGCCAGAGGAGCCACUUGUAAGAAGUGAAUUGGAGUCCAUAACCGUAGGGUUACGAAUGCCAUUUGGCGACAUAAAAUGCAGAAGAUUUUUAACAUCUGUUAGAAUUCAGGUAGGCCUAAACUAAACUUGUAAUAAUAAUAAUUCUGGAUUUAUAUAGCGCCUCACGUUGACACAACCUCGAGGCACUUAACAACAACAGAGAAGAAGAAAAAAACAAAAAAAAACAAAAAAACAAA